GUGACAAUGCUCCUUUUUGCAGUGAGCACAGUGGUGUCUCUCCAUAGAAAUCUUCAUGUCCAGAAUCAUCAACUUGCCAGCUUGCACUGUUUUCCUGUGAAAGCUGAUGCCCAGGCUGGGCUUCUGCCAUUUAUACCUGUGUUUCACGGUUGAGGAUAUAAAAUAAGAUCUGGCCUUUUCUUGUCCUGUGGACAUGUUUGCCUCCUAAUUCUUAAGGUGCCAGUGUUUAGUAUUUGUUGCCCAGCAAGGAGCUCACGUAGGCUGCGUCUGUAUUGCAAGGAAGCAGUGCCUUUGAGAGAUCCCUGAGGUGGCUGGAGGCUGCACAAAGUUGUGCUGCUGUGUUGAGGGACUGGCCUAGGCUUUGGGUGCAGGAUGGCUGCAUGGACAGGCAAAACAUGUCACACAACUGCUGCUGUCUCCCAUGUUUCUGUGGGGCUUUGGUCUACCUGGCUGCUAAGUGGGAGUGUAAUCCUCCAGACAUUUCAAAAGAGGGAGGAGAAAUACCACUAAUCUUGGAACACUGCAGUUAAGACUCUGGAGCAAGAACAGUAUCCACUUCCUAGCUUCGCCAUGGCAAGAAUGACCUCAGAGACCUCCUGAGACCUCUUGUCCACAUUUCACUGUUUAAGGGACCAGUGUGCAUGUGACCCUGUAACAUUGUAAACCGCCGCUGAAGUGUGUCCCUUAUAACUGGUGUUUGAAGAUGGGAACAGUCUACGACCCUUCAGAAGAAUUUUGGCUCCAUCCUCCUGAAUGUGGCUCUGAAGGAUCUCAGAAAAGUGACCACUGCCAGAAGGCAGGAGACAUUGGCCUGUGCUAGAUCCCAGCCUACCUUCUCCAGUCCUAUGGAGAGCAGAGGCUGCUCUGGUUCUGCAUUCCCAGCAGCAUCUCCCGGUCACAGCGGCUGGAUAAAGGACAGCAGCCCCAGGUUUUGCUUCGAGAACUUAAUCUGCACUGUCGUCCCUCAUUACUGCCACUCAGCGCCGUUGUGUCCAGCCAUGAAGGGUCACAAGAUGACAUGACAUGAGAGAGGUCGGGCGGGGGGAGAGCAUAAAAGGGGCCUAGCAAGGACCGGGAAAUAUGGAAAGGCUAAAAAGAGAACAGCUACCCAAGCGGUGCUCCCGGCGGCUCGCUGGGGAUGGGGCUGAAAGCGACUGGGUUCACACUAAGUUUUCCCGGAGGUCACUCUGCAAUAUGGUAACUCCCAGCUCUGCUGUCAGUGCCCAUAAAGACAGCUCUCCUCACAGGGAGUGGGGGGGAAGGGAAGGAGAUUUGUUUAGAAGCAUUAGUGUGCCCCUCCCCCGGCCCCAUUAGCGGCCCUUAUUAAACCAACACAGACAAAGAGCAAAGAUGCCCUCGUUAAUGGAGAGUCUCCGAUAAUUACUCUGCUCUGCCGCUUCUUUUGGGGCCUGAAUGGCCUUUGAAUAAUGUUUCUCUUGCUGUGGUUGCAGACAAUACCCUCGCAGACCGCUUUAAGCGGUGCCAAUCCCAUUAGCAGAAGAAUAGCAGAGCUUUCUGGUUGCGCGGGUGUGUGCGCUCUCGGGGAGGACGGCGGGCUCUCAGUGGGAACGGGGCUACGCUGCCCACCGCUUCCCUCGCCUCUCUUGGCCUCCACGGCCCGAGAAAGCAAAGCAGGGAAAUGCUGGGCGAAGCUCCAUCUCCGCAACAAUCAUCUCCCUAUUUAAGCAGGGCCCGAGCCUGGGAAUUUGAGAGGGCCGCUCUGCCUCUCGCUGCAGGAGCGCAGAGACGGGCUCGUCUGCUCGCCAAAAGGGAAGGAUGGGAAGAGCAGGGAGGUAGGAGCCCCGCAGGACUGAAGAAGAGGAGUGCCUUCAGCCUUUCCUGGGGUUCCCCAGGCACAGUUCUCCUCCUGCACCCACGCAAGGCACCAAAGGGGACAGAGGCCCAAGAGUCUCGAAAAUCAGACUCGGGCUGUGCUGCUGCUUUACCAUACAGAGGAGAUUAGGUGAUGGUCGUUCCUCUGCAUCCAGUUGAUUACAGAGCAAGGAAAUGGCUAUACUGGCCACUCUUGGGAGGGUUAAUUUUGUGCUGCACACCCCAAGCAGGAAGCUAAUUACUGCGUUCAAUAGGUAGCUAUCAACCAAACUUGGAGGAGUUGGAAUAACUCUACCUGAGCCUUUCUCUUUGAUCUCCCCUUCUGCAUGAUAAGUGAAAAUAGUGUAUAGCUGGGCUGGCUGCGGUGUUUAAUUUAAUCAUCUGAUGAUAUUUAUUUUCACAAACAUGAACUCAAGGAACAAUUAUCGGAAAAGCUUCAUCUUGUGCUGAACGUGGCAGUUAACAGCCUUUCUGUGAGGUAAUAGCUUCCAUGUAGGGAGUCAGUAAUUAAAACGUGUGAAAAAAGGCUCCUUCUUCAGAGGCAGCGGGGAAAGACAGCGGGUCUAACGCUCAGCUGGUGUGAACUGGCAAGCUUGUCAAUGGCCACAAUAAACGGGCAUUGCUCCUUCUACAUUAUGCCAGCAAAGGAUGCGCCCAAAGAAUUUUUGAGAAUUUUCCCAGUUUGAGCAAGAUAUUUGGAUUCUUAUCACAGGAGCCAAACUUGGGAAUGCAUGGUACAAUUAUCUGGUCUUUGGAAGGCGAUUCUGCAGUACUCAUGGGAGAUGUUCAGAUCUGAAGAACACUUGGUCCUGCAAACUCUUCCACAAGGAAAGCAGCUAAGUUUCUAGUGUUAACAGAGCCAUUUUCUCCCUCUUUCUGUGUUAACUCUCUAAACUUGCAGAAUCAUAAUCUAAAAGCCAAGAGAAAGCUGACAUUUGAGACGUUCCAAGUAGCAGGAAGAUGACUUCCUUUACGUCUUCAUCGUGUAGAUGUAUAGGGCACAAUUUGUUUACUCGUCCAGUUAACCACCAGAUGGCUCUAAGCACUCUGCUCAGUUUUGGGCCACGUGUUGAUGGUUGAUGAGCAAGGGGCACAAAGCUGGAAGUCAGGCUGUAUGGACGGUUCUGUUGGAUAGCCACCACCAUGUCUUUAACCAGUAUAUCUUUAAUCAGUACAUCAUGAAACAGCUCAUGAUUUCAUGUUGGAGGAAGGUGAUAUGUUUCAAUGAUGAAAAUUGCAAAAUAUGGAGGUUGCAUUUUUAAAUAUAUAUGUACAUAUAUAUAGUAAUAACAAUUUUUGUCCAAGUUUAAUAUUCCUUCAGAAUUAGUGUGUUAUCCUGCAGCUUUUAAGGAUAAUGUUGGUCAUUUAUGCUCUUCCACUGGCACACAGAGUGCAGGAAGAUAAUUCUCUACCAGACUAGAGGAAGAAAAUGCAGAUUCACCUGUUCUCCAAUUCAGUUGUUUUAUGCUGUGGUAGAGGGAUAUGUGAUGGACCACAGAUAUAAAAUGUGAUUUAGGAAGGGGAUGGCAUCUUUUCCUGCUCUCAAUAAAAAGGUGACAGUUGUUUAAAAAAUACUUCUCAGAUAGAAUUUAAAACUUGAACCUAAACUGUUCCUUAGCAGCCAAUGUAAGAAAGGUGCAUGUUAAUUGCAUUUUGCCUAGGAAAUGGAAAGUGUUGCCCAUCCCAGUACAUUUUCAAAACGUUUCCAGAAGGUAAGAACAGAGUUAAGAGUAUGUAGAGCUGGGAAAUAUGUUCCUUAGGGAGCUGAGAAGGACAAAAUAUCAGACCAGUGUCAGCCUCUUUAUGUGUUCCUUCUCUUUCUUUGGGGAACACAGUGUUUCCUAGACCCUACAGUGCACCAGGC